GAUAAAACACAUACUACCAUUAAAACUAUGAAAUAAGGAAAUCAUAAUUGAUUUCUAAAAUAAAGUGGAGAAUGAAAGAUUUUUCGAAACCAAAUUCAUUUGAAUUGUCAGGUAUGUUGAUUGGGUAUCUAAUAUUGUUCCUUUUAUUAAGAAAAAUGGAUCUUUAAGAUUGUGUAUAUAUUUUAGAGAUUUAAAUGUUGUUACUCCUAAAAAUAAGUAUAUUAUGUCUAAUAGACUCAACAUCUGGUGAUUAAAUUUUAAGCAUAAUGGAUGGAUACUCAGGAUAUACCAAAUCGUCAUUGUAGAAGAAGGUGUAAAUGUUUCUUUUCGACCUCAAGGAUGAAAUGAUCAUGACCAAACCCUAAACACGAAACAAUAGUGAGUUGUUAGAUCAGGAGGUGGUAGUCAAUGACAUCAUCAUGUUGAUGAUGUCACGCACUUAGUGUCAUUUGUCCACAAGAACGUUUUAGCAUUAUGAGACCUAUGAUGGGUUUGCAAUAGAAUGACACAUAAUUAGAGUUAUUCUCUAAAAGUUGAUAUGUCAUAUAAAAAAUAGGCAUAGUCCUCUAUAAUAUGUCAUUUUUGACAAAUGUCUUAUUGCAUAAGGUUCAAAGGCCAAAACCAUAUAAUCUCAUUUUAAAACCUAACAAUGGCCUUAGAUGCUAAGUACACACUUUCUAACCCUAAAAUACCUCCCAACUAUAAUAGCCAUUUACUUGGGGGUGAUAAUGUUUGCAAGUACAACAUUCACCUUAAUGUUAGACUAGAAUGUCAAAAUACCAUUCGUGUACCCGAGUUCACAAUGAGAUAUACGUUCACCAUCUUGUUUGUGAGCAUAUUAGGCCUCUUAGAGAUAAUUGACUUUAUCUAUAGGAAUUUUCAUUAAAAUCUCUACCAAACCAAUCAUCAUCGCAAUGAUGAACAUGUGAGAUAGAAUCACAUUAGCAUAAAGUCGGCCUCGUUGAUCUCUGGACAACAAGAUCAUCUGAGUCAACCAUUAGAAGUCUCAAUUUCCUUGUCAUGUCCUCUACAACCCGAGAUUCCACUACUGCUUUCAAAACUUUAUGGAUACCUCAAUACACCACCCACAUAAAUCCCAUCAGCCCCGCGAUCAAUGACGAAGCAAAAUUGUUAGGGGGCUUGUUGAUACAUGUCCAUAGACAAUCAACAAUCUUAUAACAACAUAAAUAAAUACUUUUGAGAAUUAAGAUGACCGAUCCAACCCACCAAGCACAACAAUAGUUUAGGAGUCAUGGAAGAGUGUUGAUUAGGGUCAAUGGAACAACGCUACCAUACUACAAUGAUGAUAAAGCAGAAUUAUCUUGUCAUCGCCAACCACACAACCAUAUAAGACAUAGAAAUUGUUAUCCAAUAUCUCGAAGGCGCUCACAUUCUACCAAGGGUUGGGUGGAUACUCCUUUAAAAAUUCCUUCAGUAAAGGGGAAAACGAAUACUAAUGGUUGAUCCUAGCAUUAUAAGGUUUCCUUUAUAUGAAUUUCCAUGAAGUAAAGUUAUGUCUUUUAAGAUCUCUAUUUUAUUGAAAAAUACAAACACAAAAUUAUAAUCUUGCGAGCCUUGGAUAGACUUUUAUGUAAUGUAUGAAAUUUAGUAUUGAUAUAUGGUUAUGUAUUAAUAAUGUUAUACCAAAUAUUGUGUUGCGCUCUCAUUGUGAUUUUUCUAUUUUUCAAAUAUUCUAUCAAUUCAAUUAAUAGCAUACAUCAAUCUUACACUAAAUAAAAAAGAAAUAAUUUACCAUAUAUAUAAUCAUAUAUUUCCUUUAUUCAUUAAAGUGUGUAGGUUUAGCUUAAUUUCUAAAAAUACACACAUUCGCAAAUGUUCUUCUUACACUUUGGAAACUCAGGAAAUUGACACAUAGAUUCGGGACAAUCUGCAUCAGAAUGGCAUGUAAUUAUUCCUAAGAUGUCAAAUAAGAAAAAUUAUAUGUUAAUAAUAAAUAUAAAAAAUACUAGGUAUGAAAUAAAGAAAAUAUGAGAAAAAGUUGACAAAGUGGACUUACCACCAAUUACAGUGUUGAAUAAGAAAAUAAAAACAAUCAUAAUAACACAAAGAAAUCUGUUAAAUCCAGACAUAUUUUUUCUCGUUUUCAUGUAGAAACAGAAAG
rnacentral:lncRNA from 1 species